rnacentral:rRNA from 1 species
GGCAUUAAUAAGCAUAAACCUAACCUCAUCAGAUCUCUAAGCUAAGCAGGGUUGGGCCUGGUUUGUACUUGGAUAGGAGACUGCUGGGAGUACCAGGUGCC